rnacentral:lncRNA from 1 species
GGGAAAUAAAUAACACUGAUUUCAGUUUACCUGGAAAAUAACACUGACUCCAGUUUACCUGCACCUGAGCUUUGGUAAGCCCCACCUGCAUGAAGCCCUUCAACAAGGCCUUAUACCUGGUUUUAUUUCUUCCUUCAUUCCUGGAUUAUUAUUUUUCCUUAUCCUGGAUUUUUGUUUGUAUUGAUAACUAUUACUAAUAUGGAAAGAGAGUGAAGAGGUGAUGUCAUGAGAACUUCUGUUUAGGUUUUCUUUUCCAAGAGCAGGACCUUGCAGAUUUUAACAAAUUGUUUUUCAUGGCAGAGUUUUCUUCCCUUUCAGGGGCAGGGAAAAUCUCAAGGUGGCUGGAAAGGAGCAAGGCUGAUCUGAACCUGUGUCAUAUCCCAUUAACUGUGUUACCUGUAGCCUUUGUGGGUACAGGUGAGCACAGGAGCCUCCUCACUGAAAGCACACAUCCAGUUUUGACACCAUAA